UGCGUUUAGGGUUACCGGUUCCGG
rnacentral:siRNA from 1 species